CAUUUGAAGACUAGACUUCACCCUGAGAGUCAGAAGGGAGGAGCCAGAGAUGGGGACAGUCACAAUUUUCUCCCCAGAGGGGUUAAGAAGCCCCCACACUUUGAAAUUCAGUCAGCUGUUUGAGCAUGGAAAUACUGGCUAGAGCUCUAGUAGCCCUCCCCCACCUUUUUUUUUUUUUAACCCACCAGCAUCAGAGCCAGCGGGGGUCUAAGUACACGAACCUCUAGUGCUUUCCUUGUCGUAUUUUCAUCUUUUCUUCCUUCUCUUCCCCAACAGAAGCUAUCACAGCAGUCCUGGGGCUGCCUCUCCAAGGGCUCCUCUCUGUGGACCAACUGCAGCAAGCGGCCACUAGGCGGCCACCAGUGGUUGGAGUCAAGCCUGGGCAUCAAGAGACGGCAGGGCUUCCCAGCACCAAGGCCACAGGCUCGCACAUAAUUACGUGCACAGAGGACGCCUCUCCCGCGCCCCACUCCCUCCACCCCUGAACGGAGCAACUCAUAUGGAUUCCCAAAUGAGCACGGGAAGCUGCGUUUGCAAAGCCUGAUGUCUCUUGAGUGGUCUGCCCUUCUCCGUUUGCUUGCUGCUCACAGCACAGCCCUGCAUGUCUCUCAUCUGAACGGCGCUCACAGCCUCCAUUGACCUCUCUGCCUCGGUCCUGCCUGUCCCAUUCAUCAUCUGCUAUGGCCCCUCCCAGCACAUUCCCAGCCCCAUCGCCCUCCGUGCAGAACCCUUGGCAUCCCUGAGCUCACCAUCACUUCAGGUGGUAAGCCUUUGACAUGCUAUUCCUUCUGUUUGAAAGAUCCUACCCCUUGAUGUACUCCUGGUUCAGAUGUGGUUCCAAUCAGGCUCGCCUGAAACUGGUUAAAGCAAGAAGGUGGGGAAACAGCCCAGUGUUAAAGCACAGGACUUGCGUACCUGAGACCCCAGAGGCUCCAAGUUCAAUGCCUGGUACUGCUAUAUGCCAGAGCUGAGCAGGGCUCUGGUCUCUGUCUCUCUCACAAACACACAAGUAACUAAAUAAUUUGUUUAAAAAAGAGAAACUAAUAGCCUUAACAAGAUAGAAUUUCAUGUCUCAUGCAAACAUUAACAGAAGAGGACUCCUUCAAUGAUAACUGUACUGUCAUCCUCAACAAGAGGUCCAAGUUCAAGCUCCAGCACUCAAAUCCACCUCCCAGACAGAAAAAAGGGAAAGAACAAAUUCUUUGUCAUUAAAGACACCCCCGGGGGCCCAGGAAGUGGCACAGCCGUAGAGCACAGAACUUGUAAGCAAGGGUCUUGAGUUCAAUCUCCAGCAUCACAUAUGCCAGAGUGAUGCUCUGGUUCUCUCUCCCUUGUUAAUAAGUAAAUAAGCCCUUAAAAUAAAUAAAAAGACCCACACCAGAAA